rnacentral:rRNA from 2 species
UACGUAGGGACCAAGCGUUGUUCGGAUUUACUGGGCGUAAAGGGUGCGUAGGCGGCGCGUCAAGUCAGUUGUGAAAUCUUAAGGCUUAACCUUAAGCGGUCAACUGAUACUGUCGUGCUAGAGUGCAGAAGGGGCAAUCGGAAUUCUUGGUGUAGCGGUGAAAUGCGUAGAUAUCAAGAGGAACACCUGAGGUGAAGACGGGUUGCUGGGCUGACACUGACGCUGAGGCACGAAAGCUAGGGUAGCAAACGGG